AGAGUUUGACCCUGGCUCAGAACGAACGCUGGCGGCGUGGCUAAGACAUGCAAGUCGAACGGACUGGUCGAUUGGGUAACUGAGAGACCAGUUAGUGGCGAAAGGGUGAGGAAUAGACAGGUAACGUACCUUGAUCUUUGGGAUAAUGUCGUGUUCGCAAGGACACUACCGAAAGGGGCACUAAUACUGAAUAAUGUGGUUCGCUUAAUGCGGAUUACCAAAGAUUUAUCGGGUCAAGAGCGGCCUAUCUCCUAUCAGCUAGUUGGUGAGGUAAUGGCUCACCAAGGCAAUGACGAGUAGCGGGACUGAGAGGUUGGCCCGCCACAUCGGGACUGAGACACUGCCCGGACCUCCACGGAGGGCUGCAGUAACGAAUAUUGGGCAAUGGGCGAAAGCCUGACCCAGCGACGCCGCGUGCGGGAGGAAGUUCCUCGGAAUGUAAACCGCUGUCAGGGUGAAGAAAGACCGCAGGUUUGAUCUAACCCAGAGGAAGCAACGGCUAACUUCGUGCCAGCAGCCGCGGUAAUACGAAGGUUGCAAGCGUUGUUCGGAAUCACUGGGCUUAAAGCGUAUGUAGGCGGAUGAGUAAGCGUUUUGUGAAAUCCCUCGGCUUAACCGGGGAAUUGCUUGGCGAACUGCUCAUCUUGAGGCAAAUAGGGGUGCAUGGAACUCUUGGUGGAGCGGUGGAAUGCGUAGAUAUCAAGAGGAACGCCAGCGGCGAAAGCGGUGCACUGGAUUUGUCCUGACGCUCAGAUACGAAAGCGUGGGGAGCAAACGGGAUUAGAUACCCCGGUAGUCCACGCCCUAAACGAUGCCUACUAGGUUGUAGAACCUCUGACGGUUUUACGGCCGAAGCAAAAGUGUUAAGUAGGCCGCCUGGGAAGUACGGUCGCAAGGCUAAAACUCAAAGGAAUUGACGGGGGCUCACACAAGCGGUGGAGUAUGUGGAUUAAUUCGAAACAACGCGCAGAACCUUACCUGGGUUUGACAUGGUUGGAUGGCUUACUGGAAACAGUGUAGUCUGCCCGCAAGGGUGAAACUUCCACAGGUGCUGCAUGGCUGUCGUCAGCUCGUGUCGUGAGAUGUCGGGUUAAGUCCCUUAACGAGCGAAACCCUUGUCAUUAGUUACCAUCAGUUCAGCUGGGGACUCUAAUGAGACUGCCGGUGUUAAACCGGAGGAAGGUGGGGAUGACGUCAAGUCCUCAUGGCCUUUAUGCCCAGGGCCUCACACGUACUACAAUGGCGGCUACAAAGCGACGCAAGACCGCAAGGUGGAGCAAAUCGCAGAAAGGUCGCCUCAGUUCAGAUUGCAGGCUGCAAUUCGCCUGCAUAAAGUUGGAAUCGCUAGUAAUCGCGGAUCAGCUACGCCGCGGUGAAUGUGUUCCUGAGCCUUGUACACACCGCCCGUCAAGUCAUGGGAGCCGGAAGUACCCGAAGUCGGGUUGUCAACCGCAAGGAGACGCCUGCCGACGGUAAGUUCGGUGACUGGGACUAAGUCGGAACAAGGUA
rnacentral:rRNA from 1 species